CAUGAAUCAUGUGACGGUGGCUUGAGGAAGAACCUGUCUUUAAAGCUGUCCCUGAAGUGACAGCGGAGAGAACCAGGCAGCCCAGAAACCCGAGGACCUAAAGCGAUUCUUGUAUAAAAAGUUACCAAGUGUUGAAGGGCUCCAUGCCAUUGUUGUGUCAGAUAGAGAUGGAGUACCUGUUAUUAAAGUGGCCAAUGACAAUGCUCCAGAGCAUGCUUUGCGACCUGGUUUCUUAUCCACUUUUGCCCUUGCAACAGACCAAGGGAGCAAACUUGGACUUUCCAAAAAUAAAAGUAUCAUCUGUUACUAUAACACCUACCAGGUGGUUCAAUUUAAUCGUUUACCUUUGGUGGUGAGUUUCAUAGCCAGCAGCAGUGCCAAUACAGGACUAAUUGUCAGCCUAGAAAAGGAACUUGCUCCAUUGUUUGAAGAAUUGAGACAAGUUGUGGAAGUUUCUUAAUCUGACAGUGGUUUCAGUGUGUACCUUAUCUUCAUUAUAACAACACAAUAUCAAUCCAGCAAUCUUUAGACUACAAUAAUACUUUUAUCCAUGUGCUCAAGAAAGGCCCCUUUUUCCAACUUACACUAAAGAGCUAGCAUAUAGAUGUAAUUUAUAGAUAGAUCAGUUGCUAUAUUUUCUGGUGUAGGGUCUUUCUUAUUUAGUGAGAUCUAGGGAUACCACAGAAAUGGUUCAGUCUAUCACAGCUCCCAUGGAGUUAGUCUGGUUGCCAGAUAUGGAUGAGAGAUUCUAUUCAGUGGAUCAGAAUCAAACUGGUACAUCGAUCCACUUGAGCCGUUAAGUGCUCCCAGUUGUACAAUAUGCCCAGGCUUGCAGAAUGAAGCCAACUUUUUAUUGUGAAUAAUAAUAAGGACAUAUUUUUCUUCAGAUUAUGUUUUAUUUCUUUGCAUUGAGUGAGGAACAUAAAAUGGCUUGGUAAAAGUAAUAAAAUCAGUACAAUC
rnacentral:sRNA from 1 species